GGUUGCCAGGCUAGUCUAGAAGACUGCCUACUCUAGGCUCUUGACCAAACAAGCCUACCUGAUCGCCCCACCACUGCUCAUUGAGUCCUGUCAAUUUUGCUUCAAACAUCUGCCUCACCACCUGUUUCCUUCCAUCUUAAUCUCCAUUUUCAUACGAACAAAAAACGACAGUAUCUUGUCACAUAAAAAUGUCCGCCAUUGUUGUGCCCUAUAAUUAAGCUCCAUCGCCACCCAUCCACGUCAUCAAGAUGCGCGCAACGGAAUGUUGGCAGAUGGUUGUGGUGGAAUAGUACGGUAAUAACUCUACGCACAUCCAUAAUUAAUCAUGAUCUCUUUGCCACGUCAUGAAUAAAUAUUUGAAUACUUUU
ensembl:lincRNA linc-47 ncRNA